rnacentral:lncRNA from 1 species
UCUAUAAAACUUCCCCUUGAGUUUCUGUGGCAUUUUCUUCUCACACAGGACUCCUGAUGCAAGCCUCCACUUCGACCACCUCGCUCCUAUACGAUGAGUGAUAUCCCCGUCUAUCUCUCCGUCCCCUUGAAUCACCGACCCAAGAUAUCUGAAGCUAUCCCUCUUGGCGAUAACCUGAGAUCUAAUCUUCACGUCCCUGCUUACUUCACUCGGCUCAGCGCUAAACUUGCACUCCAUGUAUUCUGUCUUAGACCUGCUUUAUUUGAACCCUUAGACUCAAGAGUCUGUUUCCAUACCUCUAGCCUUUCGUUAACACCGACCCUCGUCUCGUCUAUCAAGAUUAUGUCAUCAGCAAAUAGCAUACACCAAGGCNNNNNNNNNNNNNNNNNNNNNNNNNNNNNNNNNNNNNNNNNNNNNNNNNNNNNNNNNNNNNNNNNNNNNNNNNNNNNNNNNNNNNNNNNNNNNNNNNNNNNNNAUAUAGCAAAUAGCAUACCCCAAGGCACAUCCCCUUGAAUAUGUCGGCAUAGAGCACCCAUCACCAAGGUAAUCAAGAGAGGGCUAAGCGCCGAUCCUUGAUGGAGCCCCAUAAUCACCGGAAAAUGGUCUGGAGUCGCCACCCACCGUCCUAACCCUAGUCUUAGCUCCAUCGUACAUGUCCUUGAUUACUCUGAUGUAGGCUUCCGGCAUGCUCUUCGCUUCCAGGCACCUCCAUAGCACCUCCCUAGGGACCUUGUCGUACGCUUUAUCCAAGUCGAUAAACACCAUGUGCAGGUCCUUCUUCUUAUCCCAUUCAGUCUAACCUUGAUGAUAAAUAUUUCCACGCAAUUAAGAUACAACAGAGGGUCUCCCGUAAACAGCCUCUCUAUCCCUUCGGGGUAGGGGUAAGGUCUGGGUACAUCCUACCCUCCCAGACCCCACUAGUGGGAUUCUAGUGGGUUGUUGUUGUUGUUGUCAGGUACAACAGAGGAAGGGAAAUGCAUUUAGUUUUUUUGCCAACCCUUAUCCAACACUACUUAGAUAAGAUAGCAAUCCUGAUGACUCACCCCAUGCUAGAAAUUUUGUUUUAUUUUUUUACUUCAUUUUUUAAUUGGAGGCACUUAGCUUUAAAAGUAACCCUUUAUAAUAUCAAUAAGCUACAAGAAAUGUACAACACAAGAGCAUCCUGAAUUUCAAAUUUAAAAGAAUAUGUUAAAAUUUGGCAACUAAAAAACUCUCUACACUCUUAGAAACCAUACACUUGGUCAAAAUGGAAAUGCAAAAUAGAAAUCUAUAAUGCAAACAUAAUGUAAUAUAAUUCACAGUAUAAACUCAACAUGUGAAAAUGAAACUUCUUACAACUCAAGAGAAAUCUUACUAAGGGAACCAGCAAUUUCCCCAAGAAAUCUUAUUUUUUAAUAACUAGGAAAUCUCCGUGUGCCAAUGGCGCACAGUGAAUGAUGGGUCUUCCCCUCUACUCUUCUCCUAUUAAAAAAUGAAUUUUUACAAAAGCACCCAACCGAUACAAAAGAUUCACACGUAGCACCCAAAUUAAAAUGCAUUUUUCACCUGUGCCCCAUAAAAUAUUUAGGAUAAAUACCCAAACUAUGAUAUCCCUGUUUUGCACCCAUCACCGUUGCUCCUCCACCUUCUCUUGUUUUCUCUACAAUCGUAAAUCUAGACUUUGACUCCAUUACACGACUACUACUUAGCUUUCAAUUGGGAUAGAGGAUGAAGCUCUUCUUCCUUUUUCCUUCUCCUUCUCAUUUCUACUUAACACUCUGAUCAGAUGUCUAUGUAGAAGCAUGUAAAUCUAUACGAAAUAGAUAUCUCAUGAAACUCAAACAAAGAACUCAUAAGUUCUUCGUGUAGCGGAAGACUCGAAGGAACCGCCGCUAGAAUCACUGGUCGAUGGCAGUUGUCACAUUCUGACGGAGCAACCUCUUAUAUCAUAGUCUAAACCCUAAUGAUUUUGCGGACGAGAGAGAAGAGAGAGAGUGUGGAGUGAAAGUUUUAUCUCCCAUAUACUUUAAUCGUGCAUUGUAAGUGUAGUUAUAUAGGUGAAAUUGGGACUUACAUUAUUACCAAUAUUACUUAAUUUAUCCUAGUGCGCUUUUAGAACAGUCCUUAUCGG